CUGGCCUGAUCCGCAGAGAGGAAUCAAGGAAGCGUACAGGGUCCUGAGGAUGGGUGGGACAGCUUGUGUGAUUGGCCCCGUGUACCCAACCUUCUGGCUGUCCCGCUUCUUCGCCGACAUGUGGAUGCUCUUCCCCAAGGAAGAAGAGUAUAUCGAGUGGUUCAAGAAGGCUGGGUUCAAGGAUGUCAAGCUGAAGAGAAUUGGACCAAAGUGGUAUCGUGGUGUCCGGAGGCAUGGCCUGAUCAUGGGAUGCUCUGUCACAGGUGUGAAGAGAGAACGCGGGGACUCUCCUUUGGAGGUACCUUUCUUUUCCCUUUGCUAAUAGAAAGUGUUGCUGUCAAAUUCACAAUUACAUAACUCAAUGAAUUUUUUCAUACCUCCUUCAGACUUUAAAUUGUUCAUUUCCGGCAGUAGAUGUUGAGGGGUUUUGGUGUAACUUUUUUUCAUUUUAUCUUCAAUGCAGCUUGGUCCGAAGGCUGAGGAUGUCAGCAAGCCGGUGAAUCCCAUCACCUUCCUCUUUCGCUUCCUCAUGGGAACGAUAUGUGCUGCAUACUAUGUUCUGGUGCCCAUUUACAUGUGGAUAAAGGACCAGAUUGU
rnacentral:lncRNA from 1 species